CCANGAGGCAGCAGGCGCGUAAAUUACCCAAUGUGGACUCCACGAGGUAGUGACGAGAAAUAUCAAUGCGGGGCGCUUCGCGUCUUGCUAUUGGAAUGAGAGCAAUGUAAAACCCUCAUCGAGGAUCAACUGGAGGGCAAGUCUGGUGCCAGCAGCCGCGGUAAUUCCAGCUCCAGAAGCGUAUGCUAAAGUUGUUGCAGUUAAAAAGCUCGUAGUUGAAUUUCUGGUGUGGGAGCCCAGGCCUCGGUGCGAAUGCGCCUUGUAUUGCCUUGCGGCUCCUUUGCCAUCCUCGUUUUUCUUUUGAAGAACGUCAUUCACUGUAAUCAAAGCAGAGUGUUCCAAGCAGGCCGUAGGGCCGGUAUGUUUAUUAUGGGAUGAUCAGAUAGGACUCGGGUGCUAUUUUGUUGGUUUGCACAUCUGAGUAAUGAUUAAUAGGAACAGUCGGGGGUAUCCGUAUUUAGGAGCUAGAGGUGAAAUUCUUGGAUUUCCGAAAGACGAACUACAGCGAAGGCAUUUACCAAGCAUGUUUUC
rnacentral:rRNA from 1 species